rnacentral:misc_RNA from 1 species
GUGAGUCAUCGAAUCUUUGAACGCACAUUGCGCCCCUUGGUAUUCCGAGGGGCAUGCCUGUUCGAGCGUCAUUAUAACCCAUCACGCCUGGCGUGGUCUUGGGGCUCGCGUUCAGCGGCCCUUAAAAGCAGUGGCGGCGUCCGUUGGGCUCUAAGCGUAGUAACUAUUCUCGCUUCUGGGCUCUACGGGCACCUGCCAUCACUAUCAUUUUCUCAGGUUGACCUCGGAUCAGGUAGGGAUACCCGCUGAACUUAAGCAUAUCAAUAAGCGGAGGA